AAAGUUGUAACAAGGUUUCUGUAGGUGAACCUGCGGAAGGAUUAUUAUUGUAGGGCUCUGGCCCUAUUGAGAUAGAACCCUUGCCUUUAUAGUACCUUCUGUUGCCUUGGCGCCUGCCUCACGGCGGCGCUAACAGGGCUAACUAAAAAACCUUUUUUUUAUCUAAGAAUUAGUCUGAAAAAACAAACAAAAAUUAAAACUUUUAACAACAGAUCUCUUGGUUCUG
rnacentral:misc_RNA from 1 species